AAAAAUAAUUACUGAAACAGCCCCACAUGGAAACAUAAAAUGUAUCUGACAUUGAUACAGAGUUCAUGGCUGAAAAUUUUAGGUCACUACUAAAUGAGCACUGUAUUAGAUAUGAGACCCUGGCAUCUUACUCACCGCAUCAAAAUGGUACUGAAACUAGAGAAUUCUAUUUCAAAUGGCCAAAUGGCAAUAAGUCUGUUAAUCAAAAAUAAAUUGUCAAUGGAACUAUCGGCAUACGCAGUAAUGCCUACUGCUUAUAUCCAAAACAGGUGCUUUAACAACUGCCUAGAAGUAACUUCAUAUUAUUGAGUGCUGUGUGG